rnacentral:rRNA from 1 species
GUCUGCUGUGAAAGGCUGGGGCUUAACCCUGGUUUUGCAGUGGGUACGGGCUAACUAGAGUGCAGUAGGGGAGACUGGAAUUCCUGGUGUAGCGGUGGAAUGCGCAGAUAUCAGGAGGAACACCGAUGGCGAAGGCAGGUCUCUGGGCUGUAACUGACGCUGAGAAGCGAAAGCAUGGGGAGCGAACAGGAUUAGAUACCCUGGUAGUCCAUGCCGUAAACGUUGGGCACUAGGUGUGGGGGACAUUCCACGUUUUCCGCGCCGUAGCUAACGCAUUAAGUGCCCCGCCUGGGGAGUACGGCCGCAAGGCUAAAACUCAAAGAAAUUGACGGGGGCCCGCACAAGCGGCGGAGCAUGCGGAUUAAUUCGAUGCAACGCGAAGAACCUUACCAAGGCUUGACAU